AUUAUUAUUAUAGUUGUAUAAAUGUUGUUCAAAUAAUCGUACCUGUCAUUAGUUCUGUAAAUAUCUACCAAAGAUAGAAUAAUAUGCAAUGUGACCACUACGUGUCGCAAUAUACUCAAUACCAUUUUACGACAUGAAGAUGCUUAUUUAAACGAUUUCAAUAGUUGAACGUUAUCGCUUCUCGGCCUAUGGCUAAGAUCAAAGUGUAGUAUCUGUUCUUAUCAGCUUAAUAUCUGAUACGCUGCUCAUAGAGCAGCCAGAAUAUUAGCUAGAUUUUUGGAAAUUGGCGGAAGGCCGGGGCUUGCUCCGCCUCUGCCGGGGGUUGAGCCGGUAUUGCAGUACCGCCGGAUUCAGCCCGUCAUAGUAUAAUUAAAAACAAAAAUUCUUGAAGAUACUUUUCCUCGUAAAAAAUAUUAAUAUGUAAAUAUAUGAAUUAAUUUUCUUUAGGGAAAUCGAAGAAAAAUCUCUUCCAUAACUUGUUAAAUUAAAAAAAAAUUCAAUAAUAAAUAAAAGCACUCUUUUGAUUCACGUUCCAUGUCAUAUUUAUUAUAAUGUUUUAACAUUUUAUAACUGUGUGCUAGAUAUAAUAUAUUACUAACAAAAAAUGAUAUCCAGUGGUGAUGAUAGGGCGGAAGAGACAUAAAAGAAGUUUAGGGAAAAAAUCCUUAAAGAAAUAUUAACUAUUUAUUUUAAAGAUCUUUAAGAAUUUAAAAUUAAAAAUUAUUGAAGUUACGAGAAGAAUAGGUUAGUGAGUUGUGAGUAUUACAUCAUAUAAAGAAAAGGGAAUAAAAAAGAUUGGAUCGAAGAGGAAACAAAACUUGGCUCGCGAAUCAAAUAGAGCCACUCCUUUCAGGGAGAUGAUACCUGGAUGAUUCUCAUUGGAAGAACGCAUUCAUCUGUGAAUACCUGUAUCUUUGCGAGAUGUGGACCAAUCAAUGAACGAUAACCAAGGACCAAUCAACAAGCGAGAUAGAAAAAUAAGAAAAAAAAGGUGCCUUCGUCUUACGUUCCCAAUGUUUCUUUUUAUCUUCCAAAAUUCAUUUUUUCUACUCUAUACAAAUAUAUAUGAUAUUUUUUCGUAUAUUUUGAAUUAAGGUAAAUAUAUAAAAUUAUACAUAUAAUAGGAAACGUCAAGUUUUAUCGUUAUUUGUAAGAAAUUCUACGGUCGUAAUUUCAUUCAUUGAUAAACAAAAUAAAUUUGCAAUAAUCGAG